CCUGAGAAACCCAAAAGAUCGAAUGGGGAGAUUCAUCGUCAAUAUGUUCAAUAUAUAUAUACGUUAUGAUAUAAAUUAUAAUAGCUUUACGGUUAAUAUAAAUUUAUACAUAUGUUUAUUAUUUUAUUGUUGUUCAUUGUCGGCGUGCACUUCUCCCCUAGUAGGACGUCGCGACCCGUUGGGUGUCGGUCUACGGCCUAAUUGGGUAGCCUUUAAUCGUUAAAACAUUAAAGACCAAUUAGUGUUUCCUGACCGACUGCCCGGCGGUAUUCGUAUGGUAUUGUGUCGCAAUUUAUUUUGCGUUCCUACCCGUCGCAAGCGAGGCCAGUUUUAUUAUCCUGGUAGUACGGACCUAGUGCCGUCGCUGGGACUGGCCAGCUGUUGGCUGUACGGUGUUCUGGGACUUGAUAUAUAAUACCGGUCUGCGACGCUACUGCUUUGGGUACUUUCAGG
rnacentral:rRNA from 1 species